UUCCGGUUGAUCCCGCCGGACCUGACUGCUAUCGGAUUGAUACUAAGCCAUGCGAGUCUUUGUAGUAAUACAAGGCAGACGGCUCAGUAACACGUAGUCAACCUACCCUAUGGACGAGAAUAAUCUCGGGAAACUGAGCAUAAUUCUCGAUAGAUCAUAAUGCCUGGAAUGGUUUAUGGUUAAAAUGAUUCGUCGCCAUAGGAUGGGACUGCGGCCUAUCAGCUUGUUGGUGAGGUAAUGGCCCACCAAGGCGAUUACAGGUACGGGCUCUGAGAGGAGAAGCCCGGAGAUGGGUACUGAGACACGGACCCAGGCCCUAUGGGGCGCAGCAGGCGAGAAAACUUUGCAAUGUGCGAAAGCACGACAAGGUUAAUCCGAGUGAUUUCUGCUAAAGGAAUCUUUUGCCAGUUCUAAAAAUACUAGUGAAUAAGGGGUGGGCAAGUUCUGGUGUCAGCCGCCGCGGUAAAACCAGCACCUCAAGUGGUCAGGAUGAUUAUUGGGCCUAAAGCAUCCGUAGCCGGCUCUGUAAGUUUUCGGUUAAAUCUAUGCGCUCAACGUAUGGGCUGCCGAAAAUACUGCAGAGAUAGGGAGUGGGAGAGGUAGACGGUACUCGGUAGGAAGGGGUAAAAUCCUUUGAUCUAUCGAUGACCACCUGUGGCGAAGGCGGUCUACCAGAACACGUUCGACGGUGAGGGAUGAAAGCUGGGGGAGCAAACCGGAUUAGAUACCCGGGUAGUCCCAGCUGUAAACGAUGCAGACUCGAUGAUGCAUUGGCAUAUAGCCAGUGCAGUGUCGCAGGGAAGCCGUUAAGUCUGCCGCCUGGGAAGUACGUACGCAAGUAUGAAACUUAAAGGAAUUGGCGGGGGAGCACCACAAGGGGUGAAGCCUGCGGUUCAAUUGGAGUCAACGCCGG
rnacentral:rRNA from 1 species